rnacentral:rRNA from 1 species
CGUAGGGUGCGAGCGUUAAUCGGAAUUACUGGGCGUAAAGUGUGCGCAGGUGGCCGCGCAUGUCGAGUGUGAAAUCCCCGGGCUUAACUUGGGAAUUGCGCUCGAAACUACGUGGCUAGAGUGUGGCAGAGGAAGGUGGAAUUCCACGUGUAGCGGUGAAAUGCGUAGAGAUGUGGAGGAACACCGAUGGCGAAGGCAGCCUUCUGGGCCAACGCUGACGCUCAUGCACGAAAGCGUGGGGAGCAAACAGGAUUAGAUACCCUGGUAGUCCACGCCCUAAACGAUGAUGACUAGUUGUUGGAGGAGUUAAAUCCUUUAGUAACGCAGCUAACGCGUGAAGUCAUCCGCCUGGGGAGUACGGUCGCAAGAUUA